rnacentral:rRNA from 1 species
GACGAGGGAUCCUAGCGUUGUUCGGAAUUAUUGGGCGUAAAGCGGGUGUAGGUGGCUAUGUAAGUCAGAUGUGAAAGCCCAGGGCUUAACCCUGGAAGUGCAUUUGAUACUGCGUAGCUUGAGUGUGGGAGAGGAUAGUAGAAUUCCUGGUGUAGUGGUGAAAUACGUAGAUAUCAGGAGGAAUACCGGAGGCGAAGGCGGCUAUCUGGCCCAACACUGACACUCAGACCCGAAAGCGUGGGGAUCAAACAGG